AAGAAUUUGAGAUUUUUUUAUUGGUUAUGAGAAAAAAAAUUUAUUCUAAGAUACACACCCUUUUUUUCUAUGCAUCUAUCCAUGCAGGCAGUAUUUAUUGGGCACCACCUCUGUACCAGGCAUGGUCCCUUGCGCUGGGGAGACAAUGUUGAACAAGACAGACCAGUCCCUAUCCCUCAUGGUGCUUACAGACAUGUGGAAGACAUGCACAGGAUGUGGGAAAAUCCUGGAUGCCGUGGAAACCAAUCAGAGGGACACUUACCCCGUUUAGGGAUGCAGUGAAUGGGGGCAUACCCCUGAAGAAGUGACAUGUGUUCUAAGAUCUGAAGGUUGAGCAGGAACUAGGCAAGUAAGGAGAGGGAUGAUAAUGUACUAGGCUAAGGGACCCAUAUGUGCAAGUGCUUGGAGGCAAAAGUGCUUGUCCCCUCAUCCCUUCUAAGGAGCUGAAAAUAAUUCCAAAAAGCCAGAGCAGAGAGAUAUGAAUGAGGUAUGACCUUCAGAUUCUCUUCAACAAAUUAUUAGAACAAGAAAAAAAUUGUUCUAUUAGUAUAGUAGGUAUAUUAGGAAGCAAAUAUUAGUAUACCUGGUGCCUACCUAGUGCUUGGGACUAACAGAUAUUCAAUGAAUAAAUGUUUUCCAGCUUAUCAGCUGACUGAGUGGCUACUCAAUACUAUGUAAGGAGCUUCAGAUUUUGAUUUCUGCCUUCCAAUAUCUUUUGGUUUUAUUUGGGAGCAGGUGGAAAUUGAAAAACAACAAAAGGGUUUUAAAAAUCAAAAAAGAACUCAACAGAAGAGCAGGCAAAGGUUUAAAGGCCUUGAGUGAAUGGGGGGAAAACCAUGUGGUGGGUGGAGGAGACCCUUAGGAGGUUUGCUGGGGUACACAGGGCUGUAGCUGGAACCUGAAAGUUUCCACCUGGGGAGACUAAGUCAGAGAACUUGGACAGAGCCCCUCCGUUAAGCUAUGGUGGCAAAACUGGGUAGUUAUUUGUUGAAGCAGCCUUUGCUAUCUGAGCCUGAGCAGCAACAGGCAGGCUUCUGCUGCUAGAAACUGUAGCAUAGAACCAUAAUAUUUUCCACUAAAAAUCUGGGGCACAUUAUCUGGCAGAGGUACAAAAACUUGCAAAUUAGAACUCUCCCAGGAACUGCAGAAUAUAUGAUCGUUAUAGACAUGGAUUUUCAAAUUGGUGUGAUGGCCAGUUUUAAUAGGGCCUUAUGGCUAGGAACAUAUGCUUCAAAGCCAGUUAGACCUUGUUUGAAAUGAUGGUACCAGCAGUGUGACCUCCUGCAAGUUUCUUUACUUCUCUCAGCCUUAGCUACUUUAUCUGAAAAUGGGGAUAAUAAUACCUUCUUAGGGGUUAUUUGGCUGUUUCCAUGAAAAAAAAUAUAUAGUAAGUACUCAAGACCAUGUCUAUGCUAAAUAAUAAUAUUAUUAUUAAGAUACUAGUGAUUAAGCCUAAUUUAUGGGGGUAAUCAGACUCUUUUGGGAGUACAUAACCCCCUGAAUUCUUUGACUUUCCAAGUACCCAUCAUUCCCAGGUCUGUAAAUGUGUUUUUGUUCUCAGUUUAGCCUUUUAUCAGGAUUCCCAAACUCACUGAUUAGGCUGGCUUGUAGGCGCCAACCUGAAAAAGAAUUUGACUUUCUCAGUAUUGGGAAAAUAUUUGUAAAAUAGUACAGUCAACAAAUAAAUAUACUGUAGACUUUGAGUCGCUUUAAAAAAAAUUGCCCAGGAGGUUAAAAAAAAAAAUUCUGGACUCAAAAUGUUAACUGGGUUUGGUUUAGUAUUUGGACAAAGAAAUCCCUGCUCUGAACUGAGCAGAGAGAUAAGCGCCUUGACUUGCAAUAGAUUAAGAGACUUGCAUUGGUGAGAACAAACCACGUCUGAGGCUCUCCCUGAGUGCCGCCACAUUUAGAUUUAAGAUUAACUGCAGCCGAAUGGUGGAGCGGCUGUUUGUUUUAUGAAACAAUCGCUAAUGACAUUAAACAGACGGAGGCCCUUCCAACAUGAUUGUUCAUUUGCGAUAAACUGAGAGAAGCCCACAAGAGACUGAAAAAGAAAACUCAUAAGUGCUUCAUUUUGAGGCUCUUACAAUAUUCUAUUGGAGGUGACAAUUAAUGGAAGUGAAUGGGAAUCUAAUUCAGAGCACAUUUAGAUCACGGGAGGAGGAGGUAUGGCAGGAAAGAAUCAACAUGAAUUUGCUUGCUUUUAUAUUUAUAUUAAGGAAUCAAGUCAUCAUAAUUUCAUGACAAGUUUUCCAAGGAGGAUUUUCUUUCUUUCUUCCUCUUCUUUUUUAAUGCUGUUUAUUUGUUCAUUUCUCUUAUUUCUGCAGCUCCUGGGCUCCUAAAUCUGGCACUAAGCAUUAACUGUAUUAAAGAGUACUAUCUAUUAGUUCAAUUAGACAUUAGACAUUUACUUUUCAAUGUAUUUGAAGCCUGAUUUGAUUUGGGUUCAGUCAUUUAAAAUUAAGAGAGCAGAACUGUGUACAGAACUGUGUACAGAUAUCUGUGGCUCUGAAGUCUUAAUUGCAAAUUCAGAUAAGGAUUAGACAGGACUAUAUCUCUCUAGACCAUAGGUAUUUGCUAAUACCUGAGAUAGAAAGGUUGUUAGAUUGUAAAUUUACUACUUCAAGCUUUUUGCCUUUGGAUUUUUGUUGAACUUUAAUGUUUUGGUUGAAAACAACACAGUUUGCACCAGCAUUAAGAGUGUGGAUGUGGGUAAAAUCUCAAACAAGCCUCACUUACAUUUUCAUUAUUUUGGUCUAGCUAAAAACUGAAAUAGUGUUUAUUUUUGCCAAAAAAAAAUUGUCAAAGGCCAUGUUGCAGCAUUAAGCUUUUGUUUUAUACACAAAGAAAUAUAUUAAUGAAAAGUGUUUUAAGUGCUUAUUAUAGAGAUGGUUUGUUUUGAAACAUGGGCUUUUUCACAGCAGUUUUACACUUCAUUGUGUACCAUGAAAGACAUUCUAAGUAGAGGUUGUCAGUCUCCCAUCAGAAGUAGAGUACUGCUGGGGAAUGAGCCAUUUAGGAUGUCACUCAAGCAGGACUAAUCUAGAGUAGAUAUCUUAUAAAUAACCAGUAACGAAAAAACAAAUCAUUCCUCUCCCCACCAGAGCAGAGAGAAUUACUGCUUAGGAGAAGGAAAUCUUUAUAAUAAAGAUUUACAGUCUGAAUUAGUGAAUUGUUUAGAGCAAAGCAUUGCAUAAAGUUGCAAUGACAACCUGAGAUAGGAGUUCUGGGAGCUGUGGAAAUGCCUUUAUGAGGAGAGGGAAUGAGUUUAGAAGGACUUGUAUACUGGCAUCUCCCACCUUGGUCUUGGGGAGAUGGGUGUGCGUACCCUAGACAUCUCAGUUAUGAGAUAUGGGCCUAUUUGUGAUAAUGUUUUUCAGUCUCUACUCUAGGACAUGCUGUUCCUGUUGGAUCCCAAAGAUAUUCCCAAACCCAAUGAGGACCAUUCUUUGCAUAGAGAAUUGUUGUACACAUUUAAAGUGUACAACUUUUCUAUUACAUGAUAGAAUAUAAUGAGAGUACUAAGAGUAUUUUCAGCUUUCUGUUAUUUCAGUGUCAACAUUUCGCUCUUUAAUUUCUUGAAGUAAAUACUGGCCUCUUUAGAUAUUUGCAAGUUCUGUAGCUUUGGAAAUCUUAUUCAUAGCUCCCCUUCCCUGCCUCGUUCUCUUUUAAAGUAGCUAGAAUGAGCUAUCUCUCAAUUCCUAGUGGGGAAAAGGCUUUAUUGAGACCCAUUGUGAGAACUAUAUCUGUCAAAGAGAGAAAAAACCUGAUUUUCUUGAUUCUGAUAAGUACAAAUUCCUCUCGUUGAAGCUCCUGUUGUGUCCAAGUUGUGGCGAUAUGCAGAGAAAAAUGAGUAGGAAUGCCUGGCUGGUUAAAAUAAUCUUCUCGAUCCCCCACCCCAAAUCAUUCUCUUAUUCCAGGACCAAGAAAUGGCACAUUUCCCAAACUCUUUGAACUUGUCCACCAUAACAUGUCAUUCUGAUAUCCUAGAAUACAAAAAGAAGAGAAAAAACCCUAAUAUUUAUAUAUUGCUUUUUUUCAGUAGUUUGGUUUUGAUGAGAUUGGGAAGAGAAUGGAUUUUAUUGAAUGCCAGGGCUUUCCAUUUUAUUGCAUCUAUUUCCACACAUGCCUGUGAAUUAGAUAGAGCAGAUGCUAUCUACAUUUUUCAGAUGAGAAAAUUAAAGUACACAGGCUUCCUUAAGAUCUGGCAGCAAGAAGCUAGAUUUAUCUGGGGUACAACAGCAUUUUGGGAAUGCACACUACUUGGGUCCAAACUAUUUCAGGUUUCUGGGGGAAAGUUAGUUUUUUUAGAUUCCCUGUAAUGUGCAGGGGGGCCAGGGUCAGGCAACAUCUCUGGAUUGCUACUAAUAGGGACCCCUCAUCCAGGAGGAAAGUAUUCACUAUUUAACUACAAUCAUUAGCAAAUACAAAUAGCCCCUGGAAUAGAAGAAGUUGAAAACUUUGAAACAGUAUAUAUUGCAAAGUAAAUCCUUAGCAUAAAAAUGCAUACUGUUUCUUGUUGUUUCUGCCACUGAUGGUCUACACUAAAGGAAGAAGAUUCAGUUCUAUAAACAUCUACUGAUUGCUCUGAUUCAGCUACUUGAGACUCCACAGAAUUUGGAGAUUGGGUUUUGGGGACUGACAGCAAGGAUUGAGUUAAAAAGGUCAUUCUUUCCUUAUAUGUGGGGACCAUGUGAGGUAAAUAUAAGAAAAUAGGAGUAAAAAGGAAUUUUAUUUUCACCAACCACAGUAUAAUAUGCUAUUGAAUAUAACAAAGCUAUUUUCUAUAUAGUAUGUAGUUUGUAUAUAAUUGAUAAUUCGGGAUAUGAUAUAGUCACUUUGAUAAUUUAGCCAUUUAUUUAACCAAAUGCUCCUUUUUACAAUAUACAGUAGCUGAGUUUGGGGGGCUCUAAGAUCUAGAGUCCUGGUCUAGGUGGAAUGAAGGCAAAUCAUGACUUGAAAUUCACAAAUUAAUUUUUGCUUUAAAGGCAAAUCAUGUAAUUUGCUACCACUCUGGGAGGAAUGACAUUUAAUAUAAAACCAUAAUUCAGGAAAUUACAGAACAUCAAAAAUUCACCAGUUUGCUGCUUUGAAAAAAAGUAAAGUCAGUUUUUAUUUAAAAUAUCUUAUUCAAAGAAAACAGUAGAUGUGAUAAAAUCAUGAAUUGCUUUGGAACCUAUAAAAUAUCCGCUAUGCAGCCCCUUUCUCUUUAUUGUUCUUUGUAAAUGUGUUCAUGGAAUACCCAAAAUAUAUAAACAUGAAAGCCAUACUCUCCUUCUUCCAUAGUCUAUCAUCAUCUGCCUCUUUUAAGAAGGCCUAGUUACAUGUAGCAAAUUUGAUGUCCCUGUCAUCAUCUUGAAAUAUUUGUUGAAUGAAUGGAUGGAUGCAUUCCCCAUCUGUGUAGUCAGUUCUCAAUUAUCCAUUAUAAUGGAGUUGAAAUAGAAAAGGAACGUUUGAGAGUGAAAUCCACAAAUCAUUGAGAAAGUUCAUGUGAUUCAUUACUUUCAAAGUUUCCCACCAAAUCUUUUACGCAACACGCAACUAGAUUAAAAUGUGGCAAAAAAAAAAAAAAAAAAAGUUCUUUCUCUUUUGCCUGGUUGUACUGACUUAGAUACUAAGGAAUAAAAUCUGAAAUUAGUGACUGAAAUAAAUAUAUAAAUAGAGCCCGGCGGCUGAAUGAUUAUCUGUGAAUCAUCACAGCAGUAGCUUAGGCCAAACUCAUUGUUUCUUAUAUAGAGUUCCUAGGCAGAUAUUUUUUAACAGUUGCUGGUAAAUCUGAACUAAGGGUACAGAAGGAAAGAUGCUCCCAAAAGGAUGUUGAAUGAUAAAAGUUGACUGUCACCUUUGCAGUGUGAUAGAGAGGGGAAAACACAAUUUAAAUGUUUUAGGAAAUACUGAAAAAGAUACGGGACUCUAGAGUGAAAGUUCGAGAUACUUCUGUUCUUUUGUAAAAGUUAAUCCUGAGACAGCACUAUAUCAUGUGAGUAUGUGUGUAAGUGUUCUGGAGGGAAGGCCUGGGAUUCCCCAGGGUUUAGACCCCUUGGUGAAAUGUAUAGGCUGGGUCAAGGUCACAUUCAUUUUGGGUCUUAUAUUUCAGAAUAUUUGGAAGGAAGAAGGUUUCGGGUUUUUGUUUUUCCUCCAUCUCUUUUAAAAUGUCUAGCUGCUUCCCAUUAAGUUACUUUUGAAAGCUCUUAUGUUUUGGGAAGAAAAAAAUGGCAGUAAAAUCAGCAUGGUUUCUGACAAAAGGCCUGAGAGCAGCAAUGGUAGGAUAACCAAAUGCCACACAGAGUUGAUAACACUGAGUGGAGUCACAGCUGAGCAGAACAAGCCCAGGAAGUCCAACUUUAUGUUGCAUGAAAGAUCACUGGUGACUGAUUUUAUUCCUGCUCUGAAGAAAAUGUAGACAAUGCAUGCACACCCGGUCCUUCUUACGACUCCCCACCUCCUCCCUCCUGUUAUAUCUGAAGCCAGGGUUUCUGACACUCUGAUACAAAGUCAUAAUACAUAAUCCUUAAUACUUCCAAAGGGUCCUGGCUUUUCAGCUAAGAAAUUAGGUAUGCUUUAAGUUUAUUUGGACUAUACCUAUACACUUUGUUAAAGGGCUAUACCACAGGAAUGUAAGAAUAUAUACACUUUUAUGUAUUUGCACAACUAUUAUAAAAUAUGUGGAAAGCCCAAAUGCACCUCUGAUAUUAACUUUUUUAAAAUCAGAACAUAGACUUAAGAUAAAAGGAAACUAUAAGCAAUAGCAGUAUUAGUUUGUUGAACUCCUUUCCUGACAUUUUCUUUCACUGUUUUUUAAAAGGAGGGUGGCAGUAAUCAUUAAUAUGGACUUUAAAAAUACCCUUUGAUGGUUUUCUCUUGCCAUGUCUCAUAAAUUCCAACCUUCUUUGAUAAGAAAAGUGUCUGACAUUACAGACCAGGCAAAACUCUCUGAACAUUAAUUGAAAGCAUCCAAUUGAAUUGUCAUAUCUUUGCAAAGAAGUAAUCAUAAGCACUAGUGUGUAGUUUGAAACUUUCGAUACAGGAAUACAAGAAACAUGUUUAUGUAUGCGUAGGAAGUUCUAAUGACAGGUACUACUCUGUGUGUGUGUGUGUGUGUGUGUGUGUGUGUGUGUGUGUGUGUGUGCAUGUCUGUGUGCACAUAUUCAAGUGUGUGGUACUAGACUCAGAUGGGAUGGAGUUGAUUAAAACAUCGAAUGAGUUACCCUAUGAAUGUUGUACAGUUGAUGUUUACUUCCCAAGGCAAGAAUAUGGGCUUGCAUUUCUCCUGUGUGUAAAUAUUUUGUUUAGCGCCUAGUGCAGUGCUAACAACAAUGUAAUAAAUGCUUGCCAAAUAUAGUAUAAAUAAAUAAAUUGAUUUAGCACCCA